rnacentral:misc_RNA from 1 species
AACGCACAUUGCGCCCUUUGGUAUUCCUUAGGGCAUGCCUGUUCGAGCGUCAUUUGUAACCUCAAGCUCAGCUUGGUGUUGGGUGUCUGUCCCCGCCCCGCGCGGGGACUCGCCUCAAAAACAUUGGCGGCCGGUACGUUGGCUUCGAGCGCAGCAGAAACGCGAACUCGAGGCCCGACGGAUCGGCGACCAGAAGUCACUUCUUCCACAGCUUGACCUCGGAUCAGGUAGGGAUACCCGCUGAACUUAA